GUCGAACGGGAUCCACGCCAUGAAGUUUUCGGAUGGAUUGGUGUGGUGAGAGUGGCGAACGGGCGAGUAACGCGUGAGCAACCUACCUCGUACUGGGGGAUAACGUCGGGAAACCGGCGCUAAUACCGCAUAAGACUACGAUGUCGCGUGGCAAUGUAGUUAAAGCUCCGGCGGUACGAGACGGGCUCGCGUCCGAUUAGCUAGUUGGUAGGGUAACGGCCUACCAAGGCGACGAUCGGUAGCCGGACUGAGAGGUCGGCCGGCCGCAUUGGGACUGAGACACGGCCCAGACUCCUACGGGAGGCAGCAGUGGGGAAUAUUGCGCAAUGGGGGAAACCCUGACGCAGCGACGCCGCGUGAAGGAAGAAGGCCUUCGGGUUGUAAACUUCUUUGAUCGGGGACGAAGGAAGACGGUACCCGAGGAACAAGCCACGGCUAACUACGUGCCAGCAGCCGCGGUAAUACGUAGGUGGCGAGCGUUGUCCGGAAUUACUGGGCGUAAAGGGCGUGUAGGCGGGGGGACAAGUCAGAUGUGAAAUACCGCAGCUUAACUGCGGGGCUGCAUCUGAAACUGUUCUUCUUGAGUGUCGGAGA
rnacentral:rRNA from 1 species